rnacentral:rRNA from 1 species
UACGUAGGAGGCAAGCGUUGUCCGGAAUUACUGGGUGUAAAGCGCGUGUAGGCGGCAGGCCAAGUCUGUGGUGAAAUCGCUCGGCUCAACUGGGCGGGGUCCAUGGAAACUGGUCAGCUGGAGGACGGUAGAGGUGAGUGGAAUUCCCGGUGUAGUGGUGAAAUGCGUAGAGAUCGGGGGGAACACCCGUGGCGAAGGCGGCUCACUGGGCCGGUCCUGACGCUGAGACGCGAAGGCGUGGGGAGCGAACGGG